GUCACCUGUUCAGCCAGCUCUGCAGUAAGCAAAGGGCUUCCCCAAAACUAGCUCUCACAGAUGGCAAGCAGCAACAGGCCCUUGCAAAAGUGGCAUGCAGGUUCCCUUUAUGGCCAGCCCUGUGACUACCCCUGGAGGCGUAGCCACAGAGACUCUGCUGCCGAUAUGAACAGAUGUAGGCCUGCAGCAGCAGCAGGGGACAAGGGGAAAAUGGUCACCAUUGGUCAGGUAUCACAGACAUAUACCUGUCACAGUGAGAACGCGCCUGGAAAUAUUGGAAGCUGAGCACAGUCCUCUUCUUUGAAUCCAACAAGCGGGCACACAUUCACUUAAUAGUCCUGGCAGCCCCCAUUAGCAAUAAUCAGACCUGCAGCCUGUCAACAUAUAGAAAAGUGUCUCUCUGUUGGAUAGGGUUACAUGAAAUGCAAGACAUUCUUCAAUGCAGGCACUGAUUUUCCAUCUCUCCACUGUAAAGAGGCAGUGAGUGUGUGAUGCACGUCCGUUUCAAGGCAAAGUCUGUUUGCAAUGUGACCUCCAUGCCUUGUGGCUUGUGCACUGGUAAACAAGCCAAGCAUGAUGGAAAUCUACCAUUUCAGGUUUGGCUAUUGAAAAACAAGGAUAUGUGUGACUUAUUUUUCAGCUGUUUAUGAAGCAGAUGAACAAGGCAAGGGAUCUUACAUUUUUCCUGUUACUCCAAUCCUCCUCAUGGAAAACCUGAGCUGUGGCCCAUUGUGACACUUUUCCUUCACUUUUAUGUAAAAGAAAGAAUGGGAGAGAGACCAAAGGAAAUUAAAUGGAAAUAAAAUGAUGUCCCAAAUGAUCAAGACACUGAAAAAAUUCAAACCCAGCAACUCACCUUGAAUUCCCCAAGUAUCUGAUUCCCUGGACUCUUGUAGGGAGCCAAACUCCAUUCCUUACCAUGGGGUAAAACAUUACUGGCUUCUUCUCCUUUAAAGAAAGUAUACUGUGUACUCAGUGGUUUAAAAUGAUGAAGAACACACAGAUAUUUGCUCUAUGAUUAAUCUUUACAUGCAAGAUCUCAGGGAGCAAACAGCUUAGAGCGGACGGGCUGCAUGCUUUUUGCACUACGCUUUUUAAAAAUGUGGUCACACCCAAACCGUAGGUCAAAUUGUAUCUUUUUUCCCUUAAAGUGUUCUUUGAAACAGAUGAGAUCACUGACAAUAUAAACUAGUGCAGAAUAUAUUAGAUAUUUACAAUAUAUCUAUGUGCUGUCAAGAAAUUAUUUCACCAUAGAGAGGAGAGUAUGAGCUAAUGCAAAAAGACUGGCAUGGCAAAAGACUUCAUUUAAUAUCGUGUAUUUAAAAUGACUAUUUUAUUACACUCUUCUAAAUGAAAACCAGUCUCUCUGACUGCAGUUGACCUCCACCUGCAUAAAUGAGAAGAAAAUCUGGCUUACAGAG